CAAUAUGUCACUUUCAAUCAAAGGCGCUUAAAUAUAAACAUACAGCUCGUGUAAGACGUGCUCUCCGCUCUUUAUGAGCAACUCUGCACUUCGGCAUCAAUCAAAUACAUCAUGCACCUCUUAUUUUAGUUUUAACAAGAAGUUUAGAAUCUGGCUCCAAUUCUAAACUUGCUUCACCCAAAAUAAAGCAGGGAGGGCGGUAGAGAGGCGGCGACCUGCCGAGGCAAGAGUUUGUUGAAAUACACUGUUCACAAACACAUGUCCUGAGACAUGUGCGUGUAUGUCCUGAGAACAAUGUCUGCCGCCGUGUUGAGCUGAAGGAUUUGUAAACGCAGCUUGUGACGGAGACGUGCAGCGGAGUGAAGCCAGCGGGCCGUCAAGCUCCAGCUGCCCCGGUAAUGGCGUCCGUCCUCCGGCAGGAGUCACCACGUAGCUUCCGCUGGCACGCAAAGAGCUACUCGAGACAAGCUAGCUGAAGCUUUUCUGGUUUAACGUGUAAAACUGCGACAUUUAACAAGACAAUAAAAACGCGAAUUUAAUCUAAAAGCGUUUUAAACAGAAACAUUCGACACGUGCCGCAGAUUAUAGCAUCAGUAAGUAAAACUACAACAAUUAUAAAAUGCGUCGACCUCCUUCGGUUGUAAACACGAAGGGAUUAAAAUGGCGAAAUAUUCGCCUGGUGUCAAUGAUUUCAUGCAAACUGCGAGCUGGAUGGUCCCGGUGCUCCGGUGGAUGGUCCCGGUGCUGAGCGGCAGGAUGUCUGGCUGCUGCCCCAGAAGCCUUCACUGCGAAGCCGCCAUGAAUGUUCUGCUGACUCGGGGACAAACGACCAGAAAACCCCACAAAUCUGUUUAAAAUCACAUCUAACUACUCACCUUCAGCCGUAAACCCCGGGGAGUCAGCUCGAAACGAAUCCGACAAAAGGAGCGUCUAGUCCGGUAUGAAACUCCGCCCAGCGCCGCAGGGGGAGGAACUCCGGGAGAAAACAUGAGGACAAAGGCGGAGGAUGAAACCAGAGAUAGCGGAUAAAACAGCAGCCAAACCCGCUGAAAACUACUUAACAUGUACAAUUAUCAUUUUUAUUUUAUGUAUUUUACACAAGCUUUCAGUCAAUAUGUAAAAAAAAAUAAAAACUGCGGCAGCGUCUUUAUCUGGAAACCUCCCGUCCUGACUUUAACCUGGUCCGGGUCCAGAUGCUGAAACCGACGGGGAGACCGAGGACUGUGGCCCGGGGACCCAGCCGUGCCGGAGGGAGGCUGCUCCGGGCUCCGAGAGGAAGCAGAACCAAAGUGUGCAGAAAGUCACCAGGUGAGCCGCAUCUCAGGUCUCCUCCCGGACCGUCCGGUGCUCAUCAGCGGCUCACCAGCGGCAGUGUGACCUGCAUCCUGCGGGACAGCAGCCCGCAUCUACAUGGCCUCCUGCCCGCUGAGAACACACCGUCUGCCCGGGAGACCCGCCGACCUAUACCGGCGUUCUUACACUGUUAAUCAUAAAUCCUAUUUUUUUAUUGUAGAAUAAUGCACUAAUUGUACAUACUUAUUUCUUAUCAAGUAUUUAUGAUUUGAAAAACUAAACCCUUAAUUUGAAAAGCCCUUAAUGAACACAAGUUUAAGGGUUUCAUGAUUUUCCCUUUAACUUCCACAAUCCAUGAAGAGUUUAAGUGUAAUUAAGGUUCAGCUGCUAAUUAAUGAGAUUUUACUUCUGAUUAUUAUUUAGAUAUUUUACAACUUUCAUGGACUGGAAUAUAUUAAGAUAUAUUAUUAAUUGAAAUACUUUAAUAUUCAGUUUCGUAAUGUUAAAUAUUGUUUUAUGUUUUAAUGUUUGUCCCCCUGCCACUGAGUUUUUUAUUGUCAAAAUGUGUUCAAUAAAUAAAAUUAGGACCAAAUUAAUUUUCCCAUAAUGCAUCACGCUGACUAGAUGAAGGACGGGCGAUAGAAAAGUAGAAAAUAAUCUUUAGUAAAGUAAAAUAAUCUCAAACUAUGUUGAUGAAGGAUCAACGUAUACAUUGACAUUUAAAGACAUAUUCUGUAUAUCAGGAGCUGGAAGGAAAUUUAUUUAUAUAUUAUAAUAUACUUACUACAUGAAUGUAGAAGAUAACCUGCAGAUGAAUCCAUGAUGAGAGCAGCAGCGCUACACAAAAGACCACAAAUGUUUAUUUGUUUAUUGUUUUCCUGCUCGGCUCAGGCCCGGCACAGGAAACAGACGGAUGACUUCAUAUUUCACAAUAAAAUAACAUGAAAACAAUAAGAAGCACCUUCAGUCUGUAGAAAACAUAUUUUAAUAAGUAGAUAAAAACACUGGUUAACCUUCAGACUGACCAGAGCAGAAACAUCAAACCUGAAACAUGAGAUCAUUAUUUAUUUUAACGUAAACCUCAUUAGGAGAUAAUUGUCUUUUCUUUGGUGACUGAGAUGUGCUUCCAUGCUAGGCUACCAGUUUGUGCUAAGCUACCAGUGUUUGUGCUAAGCUAGGCUACCAGUGUUUGUGUUAAGCUAGGCUACAAGUGUUUGUGCAAAAAUGUAAUUGAUAACAUCAGCUCUCAUCGUGUUUUACUUU